rnacentral:rRNA from 1 species
UACGGGGGAUGCAAGCGUUAUCCGGAUUUAUUGGGCGUAAAGGGAACGCAGGCGGUCUUUUAAGUCUGAUGUGAAAGCCUUCGGCUUAACCGGAGCAGUGCAUUGGAAACUGGGAGACUUGAGUGCAGAAGAGGAGAGUGGAACUCCAUGUGUAGCGGUGAAAUGCGUAGAUAUAUGGAAGAACACCAGUGGCGAGAGCGGCUCUCUGGUCUGUAACUGACGCUGAGGUUCGAAAGCGUGGGUAGCAAACAGG